rnacentral:rRNA from 1 species
GACGAACGCUGGCGGCGUGCUUAACACAUGCAAGUCGAACGGAAAGGCCCUGCUUUUGUGGGGUGCUCGAGUGGCGAACGGGUGAGUAACACGUGAGUAACCUGCCCUUGACUUUGGGAUAACUUCAGGAAACUGGGGCUAAUACCGGAUAGGAGCUCCUGCUGCAUGGUGGGGGUUGGAAAGUUUCGGCGGUUGGGGAUGGACUCGCGGCUUAUCAGCUUGUUGGUGGGGUAGUGGCUUACCAAGGCUUUGACGGGUAGCCGGCCUGAGAGGGUGACCGGCCACAUUGGGACUGAGAUACGGCCCAGACUCCUACGGGAGGCAGCAGUGGGGAAUAUUGCACAAUGGGCGGAAGCCUGAUGCAGCAACGCCGCGUGCGGGAUGACGGCCUUCGGGUUGUAAACCGCUUUCACCUGUGACGAAGCGUGAGUGACGGUAAUGGGUAAAGAAGCACCGGCUAACUACGUG